rnacentral:rRNA from 1 species
AAUGGGAUACUGGGUGGAAAUGGCAGAUUCCCGGGACCCACGGGUCUUUGACGAAGUUGCGCCCGAAGCCAUUAGGCCGAGGGCACGUCUGCCUGGGCGUCA